rnacentral:misc_RNA from 1 species
GAGACGCUGCUCGAUAUUUGGAAAUAAUUGUUGCCUACAUAAUUUCGGCGUCGAGCUCAAAGAUCUUCAAGCGGAAGUCAAUCACAGUAGAAAAGGCUCUUUGGUUCAUAUUCUGCAUCGCGGCAGUCUCCCACGAGAAACCUUCGAGUAUCAAUUUAUACGAUGCGGCGUCAAACCAAUUGUUCAAAUCGCUUGAAAAUACCACAGAUCUUGGGCAAUACUAUACCCAUCACCCCGCUGUCGUGAUUCAUUCUCUUCAGAACAC